AUUGAACGCUGGCGGCAUGCCUUACACAUGCAAGUCGAACGGCAGCACGGGAGCAAUCCUGGUGGCGAGUGGCGAACGGGUGAGUAAAGUAUCGGAACGUGCCCAGUCGUGGGGGAUAACGUAGCGAAAGUUACGCUAAUACCGCAUACGAUCUAUGGAUGAAAGCGGGGGAUCGCAAGACCUCGCGCGAUUGGAGCGGCCGAUAUCAGAUUAGGUAGUUGGUGGGGUAAAGGCUCACCAAGCCGACGAUCUGUAGCUGGUCUGAGAGGACGACCAGCCACACUGGGACUGAGACACGGCCCAGACUCCUACGGGAGGCAGCAGUGGGGAAUUUUGGACAAUGGGCGAAAGCCUGAUCCAGCCAUGCCGCGUGCAGGAUGAAGGCCUUCGGGUUGUAAACUGCUUUUGUACGGAACGAGAAGGUUUGGCCUGAUAAGCUGAGCUCAUGACGGUACCGUAAGAAUAAGCACCGGCUAACUACGUGCCAGCAGCCGCCGUAA
rnacentral:rRNA from 1 species